ACUCCUACGGGAGGCAGCAGUGGGGAAUAUUGCACAAUGGGGGAAACCCUGAUGCAGCCAUGCCGCGUGUGUGAAGAAGGCCUUGGGUUGUAAAGCACUUUCAGUAGGGAGGAAGGUAGUGUAGUUAACACCUGCAUUAUUUGUACGUUACCUACAGAAGAAGCACCGGCUAACUCCGUGCCAGCAGCCGCGGUAAUACGGGAGGGUGCGAGCGUUAAUCGGAAUUACUGGGCGUAAAGCGCAUGCAGGCGGCCUGUUAAGUCAGAUGUGAAAAGCCCGGGGCUUAACCUCGGAAUUGCAUUUGAAAACUGGCAGGCUAGAGUCUUGUAGAGGGGGUAGAAUUUCAGGUGUAGCGGUG
rnacentral:rRNA from 1 species